rnacentral:rRNA from 1 species
GACGAACGCUGGCGGCGUGCCUAAUACAUGCAAGUAGAACGCUGAAGAGAGGAGCUUGCUCUUCUUGGAUGAGUUGCGAACGGGUGAGUAACGCGUAGGUAACCUGCCUUGUAGCGGGGGAUAACUAUUGGAAACGAUAGCUAAUACCGCAUAACAAUGGAUGACACAUGUCAUUUAUUUGAAAGGGGCAAUUGCUCCACUACAAGAUGGACCUGCGUUGUAUUAGCUAGUAGGUGAGGUAAUGGCUCACCUAGGCGACGAUACAUAGCCGACCUGAGAGGGUGAUCGGCCACACUGGGACUGAGACACGGCCCAGACUCCUACGGGAGGCAGCAGUAGGGAAUCUUCGGCAAUGGGGGCAACCCUGACCGAGCAACGCCGCGUGAGUGAAGAAGGUUGUCGGAUCGUAAAGCUCUGUUGUAAGUCAAGAACGGGUGUGAGAGUGGAAAGUUCGCACUGUGACGGUAGCUUACCAGAAAGGGACGGCUAACUACGUG